rnacentral:misc_RNA from 1 species
UGUGGGAGCUGGUUUGCCUGCGAUGGCAUCACCUCGGUGUGUCUGAAAAACCGAGUUGUCUGCAUCGCAGGCAAGCCAGCUCCCACA